AUGCAACAGCCAGUUCCAGCAGAGCUGGGCAGAAAGCCACAGACUACAGGCAGGUCCAUCUUCAGCACAAUGGGCAAAGCAGCCACCUCCUCCUGUACUCAGUACCAUGGGGACCUGAACCAACCUGCCUGCACAGCAUCUGGAAUAAAGCUUAUGCAAGAACAGAGAACAGUUUCAAAACAUGGCAUUCCAGGCUUAAAAACAAAGAGAUACAUGCCGGCACAGGAGGUUCCAAAGAAGGACUUUGUCUCAAGGAGGUCGAAUCCUGUUGCAUUCUUCUGGGGACCCACUGGAGAGAGGAGCAGUCCCUCCAAGCAUGCCAGUGGUGGCUGAAGCUCCUUCAGGAGAAAGACUUCUAAUUAGGCACUAAGGGAAGGUAAAAGCCAUCCUUGGCUAACUCUUCUGAGGCCAGUGCCACAGGGUGCUUCCAACCUGUUCACAGCCCAAGCCAGCCCAGAGGCUCCAGGGGAAUGAGUCCAGCCCCAAGCUGUGCUUGCUCCACUGCUCUCUUUGCUGCCAGACUGCUUCCACCCAAGAACAGAGAUGUUUAAGGUAUUUUCCUCCCACUAUGGUUGUUGUUAAUAAGCUGUGCAGCAAUCCCUGCUUCACUGAUCAACAUAAACCAUCAUUUAUGAAGCAGCUUCAGAACCUUCUAAAAGGGAUGAAACAACUGUGCCUGACCUUUCCCUACAGACACCACCAGCAGCAUGACCAGUGUU
rnacentral:lncRNA from 1 species